rnacentral:misc_RNA from 1 species
CCCCCCUCCACGAUCCGUCUGAUGGUCAUUCCCACCAAACCUGGAGGUUUUAUACCUUGACAUGUAGCAGCCAGCACCCUCGUUCUUCCAGCUAUUCUCAUCCCAUGUUUUCCAAUCUCCACCAGUUGUAUCAUUGAAAUUAUUCCACUGCUUAUAAUUACUGUCCCACUCGUAAUUAUUCUUCCAUCUAUAUGAAUCACUCCAACAAUUUGCCCAUUCAUUAUCAAUCAUGGCUCCAUUGGCCUGAGAAACAUUGCUCUCCCGGGGGUUUCCAUUAUUACCCUUUUGAUUACAAUCUCUAAAUCCAGGAUACAAAGCUGCAGUGGCUGUCUUUUGCACCUCCUCUUCAGCCUCCCCCCAUCCGGUGCACGAAAAUGACUGAUUCAGGAGAGAACUACCAAAAAUCACAACUUCCUCCUCUUUAUCUUUCUCAUCAGGAUAUUUGGGCUCCCGUUCCAAAUCUAAGUACAAUUCAGGGUCAAUGUUGGAAUUCCAGUCAAUUUCAUCAAUAUAAAUAUCAGGAUCGGGCAAUGAUAUGUCACAAUGAAGACCAUUAAUCUUCGCCCAAAACCGGUUUUUAGCAUUGUGAAAAGCCUCUUCACCAGCAGAGUCAUUCCACUGAACUACAUUCUCAUAGAGGUACAUAAAUUUUUUGGUUUCCAAUAGC